rnacentral:rRNA from 1 species
GAAGGGGGCUAGCGUUGUUCGGAAUUACUGGGCGUAAAGCGCGCGCAGGUGGUCUUUCAAGUCAGUGGUGAAAGCCCGGAGCUCAACUCCGGAAAUGCCAUUGAAACUGUGAGACUUGAGGACGAGAGAGGUGAGUGGAAUUCCCAGUGUAGAGGUGAAAUUCGUAGAUAUUGGGAAGAACACCGGUGGCGAAGGCGGCUCACUGGCUCGUAUCUGACGCUCAGGCGCGACAGCGUGGGGAUCAAACAGGAUUAGAUACCCUGGUAGUCCACGCCGUAAACGAUGAAUGCUAGCCGUUGGGCAGCUUGCUGUUCAGUGGCGCAGCUAACGCAUUAAGCAUUCCGCCUGGGAGUACGGCC